rnacentral:tRNA from 1 species
GCCGCCUUGGCUCAGCAGGUUAGAGCGCUUCCUUGGUAAGGAAGAGGUCCCGGGUUCAAAUCCCGGAGGCGGCU